GGGGGCGUAAAGGUUUCGACGGGGUUUUUGAAACAGGACAAGCGGGCAGAGUCGCAGAGCUCUUAAAAACUGUACCUUAAACAAUAAACGCUAACAACGAUUUAGCAGUCGCUGCCUGACACAGGCGGCCAUCCUCCCGGGAAGGACUGCGGUCCCGGAAAGGGUGUCACUUCAGCAGUGAACGCAUUCGGUCAAAGCUUUGAGACCGUCUGUGUAUUCAUGAAGCUACCGAACGGAUAGGCCGUUGACGGCCGCUCCGCGAGGGAAUCCAAACCGUCAACUGCGCCCGGAGAAAGUUCUGCGGACAGGAUUUCGGACACGGGUUCGACUCCCGUCGCCUCCACCA
rnacentral:tmRNA from 1 species